rnacentral:rRNA from 1 species
UAGAGUUUGAUCCUGGCUCAGGAUGAACGCUAGCUACAGGCUUAACACAUGCAAGUCGCGGGGCAGCAUGUUACUGGCUUGCCAGUAAUGAUGGCGACCGGCGCACGGGUGAGUAACGCGUAUCCAACCUGCCUGUUACCGGGGCACAGCCCGCCGAAAGGCGGAUUAAUGCCCCAUGCGGUCCGACGAUGGCAUCAGAAUUGGACGAAAGGUUUGGCGGUAACGGAUGGGGAUGCGUCUGAUUAGCUUGUUGGUGGGGUAACGGCCCACCAAGGCGACGAUCAGUAGGGGUUCUGAGAGGAAGGUCCCCCACAUUGGAACUGAGACACGGUCCAAACUCCUACGGGAGGCAGCAAUGAGGAAUAUUGGUCAAUGGGCGUAAGCCUGAACCAGCCAAGUAGCGUGAGGGACGACUGCCCUAUGGGUUGUAAACCUCUUUUAUGCGGGGAUAAAGGACACCACGCGUGGUGUUUUGCAGGUACCGCAAUGAAUAAGGACCGGCUAAUUCCGUGCCAGCAGCCGCGGUAAUACGGAAGGUCCGGGCGUUAUCCGGAUUUAUUGGGUUUAAAGGGAGCGCAGGCUGUAUUGUAAGCGUGCCGUGAAAAGCGCCGGCUCAACCGGCGUCGUGCGGCGCGAACUGCGGUACUUGAGUUCACGGAAGGUAGGCGGAAUUCGUGGUGUAGCGGUGAAAUGCUUAGAUAUCACGAAGAACCCCGAUUGCGAAGGCAGCCUACCGCAGUGUUACUGACGCUGAGGCUCGAAAGUGCGGGUAUCGAACAGGAUUAGAUACCCUGGUAGUCCGCACGGUAAACGAUGGAUGCCCGCCGUUCGGGAUAUUAUUUUGAGCGGCCAAGCGAAAGCGUUAAGCAUCCCACCUGGGGAGUACGCCGGCAACGGUGAAACUCAAAGGAAUUGACGGGGGCCCGCACAAGCGGAGGAACAUGUGGUUUAAUUCGAUGAUACGCGAGGAACCUUACCCGGGCUUGAAUUGCAGGAGAACGAUACAGAGAUGUUGAGGCCCUUCGGGGCUCCUGUGAAGGUGCUGCAUGGUUGUCGUCAGCUCGUGCCGUGAGGUGUCGGCUUAAGUGCCAUAACGAGCGCAACCCCUGUCCCCGGUUGCCAUCAGGUGAUGCUGGGCACUCCGUGGAGACUGCCGCCGCAAGGUGGAGGAGGGUGGGGAUGACGUCAAAUCAGCACGGCCCUUACGUCCGGGGCUACACACGUGUUACAAUGGGGCAUACAGCGAGUUGGUCGUAUGCAAAUGCGUUCUAAUCAAGAAAGUGCCCCUCAGUUCGGACUGGGGUCUGCAACCCGACCCCACGAAGCUGGAUUCGCUAGUAAUCGCGCAUCAGCCAUGGCGCGGUGAAUACGUUCCCGGGCCUUGCACUCACCGCCCGUCA